rnacentral:rRNA from 1 species
CGAUAGUUAAUUGAUUGCUAUACUCUACUGUGUUUGAUUAAAGCAUACGAGUAUGGACUUGAUCACCUUUUCGGUGAACUAGCAUUAACUGUUGGAGUGUAAUUAACCAAUUUUAAUCAUUUAUUUACCCAUUGAACCGAUUAACUAUUAUUAAUAGUUUUUCAUUCUAAUUUCUAUUGUGUGAACUGAAUUGUCUCUUACUCGAGCUGUCACAGGCGAGAGAAGUGAUCUAUAUUUACGAAACAUUAUAAAUUUCUAUGAACAACUCUUAGCAACGGAUAUCUUGGUUCUCGUAACGAUGAAGAACGCAGCGAAAUGCGAUACGUAAUGCGAAUUGCAGAAUUCAGUGAAUCAUCAAAUCUUUGAACGCAAAUUGCGCUUCUUGGAUAGGCCAGGAAGCAUGCCUCUUUGAGUAUCGUUUUCACCCCAGCUCGACUGCUUGAUUGAUUGUUUGUAACAAAACAAUCGAUCGAUGUCAGUCGGAGAAUGAGCUUUGUCUUGUCUGAAAUAGAUAAGUCACUUUAAAUGCUGUGAGUGUUUUUAAUCGCUUAUACUAUCAGUGUUGGUUAGUUAAUCUAAUCGCUUGAGUAGUAAUAUGGAUAAUCUCUAUUUAUAUUACAACGCUUGAGUGACCUAGACGACUGAUGUUAUCUGCAUUGAUAGUUGAUUAUAUCUAUAAACAUUCAGUGGAAAUUAAUCUAAUACUUAAUCGUAUUAAUACCUUUUGAAUUAGAUCUCAAAUGAAGCAAGACUACCCGCUGAACUUAAGCAUAUCAAUA